rnacentral:snRNA from 1 species
GUGCUUGCUUCAGCAGCCUGUAUACUAAAAUUGGAACAAUACAGGGAAGAUUAGCAUGGCCCCUGCACAAGGAUGACAUGCAAAUUUCAUGAAGUGUUCUACAUUUAA